CACGUAGGGUGCGAGCGUUGUCCGGAUUUAUUGGGCGUAAAGAGCUCGUAGGCGGUUUGGUAAGUUGGAUGUGAAAUCUCCAGGCUCAACUUGGAGGGGUCAUUCGAUACUGCCAUGACUAGAGUUCGGUAGGGGAGUGUGGAAUUCCUGGUGGAGCGGUGAAAUGCGCAGAUAUCAGGAGGAACACCCGUAGCGAAGGCGGCACUCUGGGCCGGAACUGACGCUGAGGAGCGAAAGCGUGGGGAGCGAACAGG
rnacentral:rRNA from 1 species